rnacentral:piRNA from 1 species
UAGUUCUAUUGGCACUGGGUUAGA